rnacentral:rRNA from 1 species
AGUGAACGCUGGCGGUAGGCCUAACACAUGCAAGUCGAACGGCAGCACAGUAAGAGCUUGCUAUUACGGGUGGCGAGUGGCGGACGGGUGAGGAAUGCAUCGGAAUCUACUUUUUCGUGGGGGAUAACGUAGGGAAACUUACGCUAAUACAGCAUAAGACCUACGGGUGAAAGCAGGGGAUCUUCGGACCUUGCGCGAAUGAAUGAGCCGAUGUCGGAUUAGCUAGUUGGCGGGGUAAAGGCCCACCAAGGCGACGAUCCUUAGCUGGUCUGAGAGGAUGAUGAGCCACACUGGAACUGAGCCACGGUCCAGACUCCUACGGGAGGCAGCAGUGGGGAAUUUUGGACAAUGGGCGCAAGCCUGAUCCAGCCAUACCGCGUGGGUGAAGAAGGCCUUCGGGUUGUAAAGCCUUUUUGUUGGGAAAGAAAAGCAGCAGGUUAAUACCCCGCUGUUCUGACGGUACCCAAAGAAUAAGCACCGGCUAACUUCGUG